UUUUUCCUCACUCUUGCUCUUCCGCAAUUUCUAUUUUCUCAUUUCCCAAUUCAUUCCUUUCUAUCUCAUAACGUUUUUUCUUCCUUUUGAUUUCACACAAAAAUACAGAACCAAACCUUGAGUUUCAAUUUUAGUUCCGCAUAAGGCUCAACCACAGAAGAAACAAGUUGGAUAAUCAAGAAUGUAAGAUCGAAGGACUAGAACAUGAUACCAUUGCUCUUGGUUCUGGAUUCUUGAUGCACCAAUUAAAUCCAAUGAAAAGCCCUUCCUAUUUUCGAUUUCAUGUUGGAAAAAUUGGUGGUGCUAGGUGGAAGUCUAUGUCCAAUACUAUGAGCAAAGCAAACAUGUUCUCUGAUUCUCUUUUAUUAUUCUUUUCUCUUCGAUUAACAGUUAUUUCCGCUUUUUUUGUUGUUUUAUGAUUUAGUCUCUAAUUCAUUAUAUAAUCAUAUUUCAGGAAAAAAACUCCAUAGGGCAAAUACUAAGAACAGACUAGCAUAUGAGGACGAUAUCGAAACCUACAACAAAAGAUUUGUAAUUGCUUUAACUCAAUGUUUUGAUUCUCUCUUAUAUUAUGAUUCAUACUAAUCCUAUGGUUGAGCUCUUUUAAUGUUUUAGAAUGUGGAUGGAGAUUUUAAUAAGUCAAAAUCUGUGUUGAAUGAUGAUUAUGAUAAUGAAGAGAGGAUGAGUGAAGUAGCUGCUGUGGUGAAGAAAGAGACCUUGGAGUGAGAGGAAAUAAUUUCAUUCAUUAUCAAUUCUCAUAUAGUUUUGGGAGUUAAUUGACAAUAUAAUUUAAUCAUCUUAAUUUUCUGCUUACUUUUAUGUGUGAAGAUCAUGAGAUUUGAGGUUGAGUAGGAUUCUGUAAUUGCAUGUUUGAUUCAUCGAAAGGAAUAUAAUUUAGAUGCCAUAAUAUACUUUUCUUAUUGUUAUGUUUCUUGGACAAAAAACUGUAUUAAGUAUUUUUAUUUAUUUUUAGUUUAAGGGAGUACUUUACCUUUGUAGAUGCUAGAAAAUAAGUUUGUAAAAUUCUAUAUUUAUUUAAGUUAGCUAUCAUUUUGUGUUUGAAAGUAUUAUAUUAUACUGAGAAAAAUAUUAUGUUG